CCUACGGGGUGCAGCAGUGGGGAAUAUUGCGCAAUGGGCGAAAGCCUGACGCAGCGACGCCGCGUGAGGGAUGAAGGUCUUUGGAUCGUAAACCUCUGUCAGCAGGGAAGAACGGUCACUGUGCUAAUCAGCAGUGAAUUGACGGUACCUGCAAAGGAAGCACCGGCUAACUCCGUGCCAGCAGCCGCGGUAAUACGGAGGGUGCGAGCGUUAAUCGGAAUUACUGGGCGUAAAGCGCUCGUAGGCGGUAUGUCAAGUCAAGGGUGAAAUCCCCGCGCUCAACGUGGGAACUGCCUUUGAAACUGGCAAACUGGAGUGUGUGAGAGGAUAGUGGAAUUCCAGGUGUAGGAGUGAAAGCCGUAGAUAUCUGGAGGAACAUCAGUGGCGAAGGCGACUAUCUGGCACAUAACUGACGCUGAGGAGCGAAAGCGUGGGUAGCAAACAGGAUUAGAUACCCCUGUAGUC
rnacentral:rRNA from 1 species